GCCAGCCCCCACUCCUGCCCAUGCCUCGUGGCGGCGGCUCGUGAAGAAAAAGACCGAAACCCACCCUCCCCCAGCCGCCGCCUGAGUCGCAUCUCUGCUUACUGUUUCUGGGAAGUGGUAGAAAGACGGCCAUAAAAAGAAUGGCGUCCAUUUACAUAAUGCUUUGUUUGCAUUUUGCAAGUUUCUUUCGGUUAAACCCGCAGAAACCCCACCUCCUGCCCUAGUGUCAUUUUACUCGUGGCAGUCUCGUCAGACGUUUAAGACAAUGGCGUGCUUCUUGGGGGCCGUUUUUAUUCAGGGGGUACCGACCAGUGCUUUGGGGGAGUUUUCCCCUUGCGGUUUACGCCCCCGCUGCUGCCUUGCGGCCCUUUCCCCUUCGGUGCAGCCGCCGCGCCCUGUGCUGUCCGGGGGCGGCUCCCACGCGCCCGCCAUCUUGGAAGGCCUUUCCUGCCGCAUGUUCCUCUGUAAAGAAAGGUCACUCCGGUCGCUGGUGUACCGGUUGUGAUUUCUGCCCCUUUCCCUUUCCUUCAGCUAAGCCAGCCAGAAAAGACCAUGUGCGCCACGCACUUUGGAAUCCUGCAGGGAAAGCGCCCAACGUGGCGAUCCCUCCGCCCCUCCUCCUUUCCCCACGGCGGUGGCCGCCAUGUUUUCUGAACACAAAAUGGCGACACGUGGCCUGAUUCGUUGCCAACGAGAAAUUGGGGUCGGCCCGAGAACUCUAGAAUGCGACCCCUACCCCCACCCGGUGCCCGUCGGCCGGGAGUGCUCUGACCACUCUGGGAUAAAACGCCGCAGGCUGGUCCAAACCUCGACAAAUUCACUUAGGCCCAGAGAGAUGAAGUGAGUAAUUCAAGGUCACACAGUGUCGAGGAUGGAAUCCAGACCUUCCGAUUUACUUAUUGACCUGCACUAUCUUAUGGAUACUGAGUGAAUUCCACACCACCCGUUUUACAGAUGAAGCCACUGAGAUAUGGAGCAACUGACUAAAAUAGUCACCGCCCUACCCCGGGAGUCUCACACAUGACUCUUCUCCUCCCACUCCAGUGACCGCAGCAUUCUACUGCAGCAGUAUCAUCCACUCAGGAUGUCUCAAAGGCCUCUGGGCCCGAGGGGGUCACACUUCAGAGACCCAAGAUUUCAUGGUGAGCAGCCUCAGGCCCGAUAAGGGUGAGAAACAGGCCUGCCUUCUCAGGACUGGAUCCAGUCCAAGAUACCAUGUUGUAUUUAGGAUGCGGAAUCUCAGGGACCCAACGGACGAUUGUGAAGACUUUGUAAAGCACUGUACAAAUGGGUGAUAUUGUCAUGGGGAUGAUGUCAUGAAGGGGACUGAGCAGUGCCUUAGGUGGACAGUAUGAAUCUUAAUCUGCCAUCCCAGGAGGGCCACAAAUGCUCCUGAGAUCAACUCAGUUCCAACCCUGAGCUCGCAUCUGCCUGACUAGGAGGAAAUUCCAUCAUGGUCAUUAUGGGCCCCCUUCUGGUACCACGGUCUGCCUGAGGGCUCCCACUCCACCUCAAGGGCUCUGGAGUUGACUCCUGGCUGGUUUGGGGCAUCCUGGGGCUGGAGUAGGGGUGAAGGCUGCCCCUCCACACUGCUGCCUCACCAAGAUCACAUUGGAGGGAGCAAGGUGCUGCGGGGCUUGGCCUGACUUGUGAGGAGAACUGCCGCCACAGCUCCUCUGAGAAGCCAGUGGGCCGAGCAAGAGCCAGGGUUGCAGGAUCAUGGGUUUCCACCCUUCCCUGACUUACACCCGACUUUUUGUCAGAGAAGAUGAAAACAACCGAGUCCACUAUCCAGAAAUGAAACCAGAUUUGGAUCUUACGAGAGAUCAGGAUAAAGUCUCAAAGCGGAAGCCCAGGGACCUUGGCGCAGGCAGGGGCACAGGCCUCAGAGUGAGGAUUGUUUCCUGAAGUCCAGAUGCCAAUAUCCAACUGGUGAGGGGACUUUUCCACUUGGCUGUACCAUGUGUGCCUCAAACCGAGCCUGUCCCAAGAUGAAUUCAUAGUCACCCCACAAAGCCGCGUUUCUGGAGUCUCCACUCCAGAGAGUGCCACCACCAUCCUCCAAGUCACCCUGGCCACACACCGGGCAACCCCUCAGUCCUCCCUUCCAUGUGAUCACCAGCUUGCAGACCUGGUGCCAUAACCCACUGAAGCAGAACACCGGAAGCUGGGUGCAGCCAUGGUCCCUGCUCCUAGGAGCUGUGCAGUCAAAGCCUGCACACUCCCCCGCCACCCCCUACACACAAACUCUGGGACCAGGUCUCGGGGCGGGAGUUGUGCAGGAGUAGGGCAGGCAAAUGGGACCCUGCUCAUGGUGGUGAGUGCCCAGAGGUGGGAAGAAUGGGGGGCAUCAUGUCGUUGGCCCCACAGCAUGGGGGCGGGGCAGGGCAGAAGGCAGGAUGACCCACUUUCAAAGCAGCCUGGCUGUGCCUGGGGCUGCUUCGAGUGGUCAGCCUGCACAUACGUGUUGGUCUUAAACUCUUCGAAAUUGGGCUAACAUCCAUAUCCUGUUUUCAUUAGCUUGUAAGCCAUCGUGAUGGGGACCUCCCUAGUUUUCUGAGCUAGCAACUGUGCCCAGAGGCUAAUGAAUAGCAAGUGCCCCCAAUAAAUAUGAUUUUAAUACUCAGUGUAAAUGUGUGUGCAAAUAAAUAUGUGAAAUGAAAGGUGGGAGCUGAAUUCUAUAUGCAAGUUACACAAUUUCUUAGCUGUUUUGAACUGAGAACUGUGGUAUGACUGUGUGUAUAGUGUGUGUUCUCCAUGUGCAGGAUGUGUGUACAGUGUGUGGGGAGAGUGUUUUCACAGAUAGUGUUUAUAUGUGGUGUGUGGUAAGGCCUGUGUGUGUAUAUGUGUCUGUGUGUAUAUGUUUGUGUUGUGUAUGUGUGUGAAGAGAAGUCCCCCUCAGAUUGGAGAUAAAACCAGCUACAUAAUUUAUAGGGCCUGGUGCAAAACGAAAGUGUCGUGCCCCUUGUUCAAAAUUAUUGGGAAUUUCAAAACAGCAACAGCAGAGCAUCAAACCAAGCUCGGGGCCUGAGUGCAGAGCCCAUGUGACUUCACAGGUGAACACCAGUGAAGCCGGCCCUGGUUGGAGAAACUGCGCCUCCUGUCUCCCCUCAACCUUCCUUUGCUGAAAGUCCUUGAGUCCUUCUUUGCUCUCUCCCCAUCCAGCUCCCGGGGUGACCUCACUGACGCAGGUGGCUUGUGCAUUGCAGGAGCUUGUCUGCGCCUUUCCUGACCCUCCUGUUUCUGUCUGGGUCUCACUGGGGACACCCAAAUCCAUAAGGUGUCUCUCAGCUCUUUGCUCAAAAUGAUCUCCUGAAAACAUCCAGGUACCUCCUGGCCCCUACUGCCCGCCCUGCCCUCUCUGUGCUCCCAGA